CUACGGGGCGCAGUAGUGGGGAAUAUUGCGCAACGGAGGAAACUCUGACGCAGCGACGCCGCGUGAGUGAUGAAGUAUUUCGGUAUGUAAAGCUCUAUCAGCAGGGAAGAUAAUGACGGUACCUGACUAAGAAGCACCGGCUAAAUACGUGCCAGCAGCCGCGGUAAUACGUAUGGUGCAAGCGUUAUCCGGAUUUACUGGGUGUAAAGGGAGCGUAGGUGGUAUGGCAAGCCAGAAGUGAAAACCCGGAGCUCAACUCCGCGGAUUGCUUUUGGAACUGUUGUACUAGAGUGCAGGAGGGGUAAGCGGAAUUCCCAGUGUAGCGGUGAAAUGCUUAGAGAUUGGGAGGAACACCAGAGGCGAAGGCGGCUUACUGGACUGUAACUGACACUGAGGCUCGAAAGCGUGGGGAGCAAACAGGAUUAGAUACCCCUGUAGUC
rnacentral:rRNA from 1 species